rnacentral:rRNA from 1 species
AUUGAACGCUGGCGGCAGGCCUAACACAUGCAAGUCGGGCGAUGAAGGGAGCUUGCUCCUGGAUUCAGCGGCGGACGGGUGGGUAAUGCCUAGGAAUCUGCCUGGUAGUGGGGGAUAACGUCCGGAAACGGGCGCUAAUACCGCAUACGUCCUGAGGGAGAAAGUGGGGGAUCUUCGGACCCCACGCCAUCCGAUGAGCCUAGGUCGGAUUAGCUAGUUGGUGGGGUAAAGGCCUACCAAGGCGACGAUCCGUAACUGGUCUGAGAGGAUGAUCAGUCACACUGGAACUGAGACACGGUCCAGACUCCUACGGGAGGCAGCAGUGGGGAAUAUUGGACAAUGGGCGAAAGCCUGAUCCAGCCAUGCCGCGUGUGUGAAGAAGGUCUUCGGAUUGUAAAGCACUUUAAGUUGGGAGGAAGGGCAGUAAGUUAAUACCUUGCUGUUUUGACGUUACCAACAGAAUAAGCACCGGCUAACUUCGUG